GCGCCCGUAGCUCAACGGGAUAGAGUGUCGGGCUUCGAACCCGAAGGUUGGGGGUUCAAGUCCCUCCGGGCGCACCA
rnacentral:tRNA from 1 species